AGGUCACUGCUAUUGGAGUUCGAUUAAGCCAUGCGAGUCGGUUGGGUUAGAACCAAGGCGUACCGCUCAGUAACACGUGGAUAACCUACCCUCAGGUGGGGGAUAAUCUCGGGAAACCGAGGAUAAUACCCCAUAGGCCUAGGAUGUUGGAAUGCUUCUAGGCUCAAAGUUCCGGCGCCUGAGGAUGGGUCUGCGGCCUAUCAGGUAGUAGUGAGGGUAAUGGCCUCACUAGCCGACGACGGGUACGGGCCUUGAGAGAGGUAGCCCGGAGAUGGACUCUGAGACACGAGUCCAGGCCCUACGGGGCGCAGCAGGCGCGAAAACUGCGCAAUGUGCGAAAGCGCGACGCGGGAACUCCAAGUGCCGUUGUUGCUUCGGUGAUGACGGCUUUUCAGAUGCCUAAAAAGCUUUUGGAAUAAGGGCUGGGUAAGACCGGUGCCAGCCGCCGCGGUAAUACCGGCAGCCCGAGUGGUGUCCACUAUUAUUGGGUCUAAAACGUCCGUAGCCUGCCUGGUAAAUCCUUCGGUAAAUCGAACGGCUUAACCGUUCGGCCUCGUGGGAGACUGUCAGGCUUGGGACCGGGAGAGGUUAGAAGUACUCCAGGGGUAGGGGUGAAAUCCUGUAAUCCUUGAGGGACUACCAGUGGCGAAGGCGUCUAACUUGAACGGGUUCGACGGUAAGGGACGAAAGCCAGGGGCGCAAACGGGAUUAGAUACCCCGGUAGUCCUGNCCGUAAACGCUGCGGGCUUNGUGUUGGGGGUCCUACGAGGGCGUCCAGUGCCGGAGCGAANGUGUUAAGCCCGCUACCUGGGGAGUACGACCGCAAGGUUGAAACUUAAAGGAAUUGGCGGGGGAGCACCGCAACGGGAGGAGCGUGCGGUUCAAUUGGAUUCAACGCCGGAAAACUCACCGGGGGCGACUGCCGUAUGAGGCUCAAUUUGACGAGUUUAGCCAAUAGGUAGAGAGGUGGUGCAUGGCCGCCGUCAGUUCGUACCGUAAGGCGUUCUGUUAACCCCGAUAACGAACGAGACCCUCGCUCUUAGUUGCCACUUAUCUCUCCGGAGAUAAAGCACACUAAGGGGACCGCCGCUGCUAAAGCGGAGGAAGGAGAGGGCAACGGUAGGUCCGUAUGCCCCGAAUCUCCCGGGCUACACGCGCGCUACAAAGGACAGGACAAUGGGUUCCAACAUUGAAAGGUGAAGGUAAUCUCGAAACCUGUCCCAAGUUCGGAUUGAGGGCUGUAAUUCGCCCUCAUGAAGGUGGAUUCCGUAGUAAUCGCGGGUCAACAUCCCGCGGUGAAUACGCCCCUGCUCCUUGCACACACCGCCCGUCAAACCAUCCGAGUUGGGCUUGAGCGAGGGCUUCUUUUAUUGGGAAGCUCGAACUUAGGUUCAGCAAGGAGGGUU
rnacentral:rRNA from 1 species